AUAUGGUAUUAUAUGAUAUUUGUAGAGGUGUUGUUUAGAGUUGUGUUUUUAGACUAGGUUUACCAGUAGAUAAAUAUUUUUGGAGACACAUAUAUACUGUUUUCAAAUCAUCAACCGAUCCAUAUGCAUUAACUUUCGUGGCACUUUUUCAUAUUUACACGUGAUGUAAACAAAGAUAAUACAUUAUAAAUGUUACAGUAGAAAUAUCUAACCAUAUGUCAUCAUAAUGUCAUAUCAAACCUAUAUUUUGUAAUUUGUAGAACAUGUAGAAUUAACAAAUAAAGAUAAGAAUUUCAAGAGGU